rnacentral:rRNA from 1 species
AUUGAACGCUGGCGGCAGGCCUAACACAUGCAAGUCGAGCGGAGCGGCGGACGGGUGAGUAAUGCCUAGGAAUCUGCUUGGUAGUGGGGGAUAACGUCCGGAAACGGGCGCUAAUACCGCAUACUCUCAGUUUAGCCUAGGUCGGAUUGGCUAGUUGGUGGGGUAAAGGCUUACCACGGCGACGAUCCGUAACUGGUCUGAGGGGAUGAUCAGUCACACUGGGACUGAGACACGGUCCAGACUCCUACGGGAGGCAGCAGUGGGGAAUAUUGGACAAGGGGCGGAAGCCUGAUCCAGCCAUGCCGCGUGUGUGAAGAAGGUCUUCGGAUUGUAAAGCACUUUAAGUUGGGAGGCGUUACCAACAGAAUAAGCACCGGCUAACUACGUGCCAGCAGCCGCGGUAAUAC